rnacentral:rRNA from 1 species
AGAAGUUUGAAGUCCUGGGCUCGAGAGUGAACGCUGGCGGUGCGCCUAACACAUGCAAGUCGAACGAAGGAUUGUGAAGGAACUUUACGGAGGGAAACGAACAAUGACUGAGUGGCGGACGGUGAGUAACGCGUAGGGAACCUGGCCCUUACACGGGGAGUAACAGAUGGAAACAACUGCUAAUACCGCAUAAGCGCCCAGCCUCGCAUGAGGCAGAGUGAAAACUAAGGUGGUAAGGGAUGGCCCUGCGUCCGAUUAGCUAGUUGGUAUGGUAACGGCAUACCAAGGCGACGAUCGGUAGCCGGCCUGAGAGGGUGGACGGCCACAUUGGGACUGAGACACGGCCCAAACUCCUACGGGAGGCAGCAGUCGGGGAUAUUGCACAAUGGGGAAACCCUGAUGCAGCGACACCGCGUGGGUGAAGAAGCGCUUCGGCGUGUAAAGCCCUAUCAGUGGGAAGAAAAGGACGGUACCCAAAGAAGAAGCACCGGCUAAAUACGUG